GACAAAAACGACCCGAACGAACCCAGGAGCACGUGGAGCCUGGAGGGGCAGAGACUGGAAGUGGGAGUGACUCAAAUAUUUAUUAAAAGCCAUCGCAUGUGUGGAGGAGCACUGUUCUGGGAGUGAGGAGGACCGAGCCACUGGCGAGUUCUGGGACCCUUGCCAAGGACAUCUCGGGUCUUCGCCUGUUCGGCGUCCGCACCUGGCUUCUACGAGCCCAUAGCGCGCCCACGCGUUGCCAUAGCAACUUGUCCCUUGGGUGUCAUGCGGUAGCCAAUCACAGGCCUGUGUUUCCCCACGUGUCAAAGGCUGGGCCUAUCACGCCUCUCUCCUGGGGAUUGGCACGCCUACGACACAGAGAGGAGAAAAGGGAAAAGUGCCGGAGGGAAAAGCAGCUGCCGGCUCCUGAUGCUGAGAGGGCACCCCCUGCCGCGACCCCGAGAGCUUUUUUUUUCUUUUCUUUUUUUUUUUUUGGACAAGUUAGCAGAAUUGGUUUCUGUUAUUUGCAAGGGAAGAACCUGAAUCCAUGCUCUCUGGAUAAAUCCCUUACUUCGUGUAGGCCUAUUUCCAUCCCAACUAUUAAUAAUAAACUGAACCUCAGUCAAUCUCAAAA
rnacentral:antisense_RNA from 1 species